rnacentral:rRNA from 1 species
GGGGACCCGCACAAGCGGUGGAUGAUGUGGAUUAAUUCGAUGCAACGCGAAAACCUUACCUACCCUUGACAUGUCCGGAAUCCCGAAGAGAUUUGGGAGUGCUCGCAAGAGAGCCGGAACACAGGUGCUGCAUGGCUGUCGUCAGCUCGUGUCGUGAGAUGUUGGGUUAAGUCCCGCAACGAGCGCAACCCUUGUCAUUAGUUGCCAUCAUUUGGUUGGGCACUCUAAUGAGACUGCCGGUGACAAACCGGAGGAAGGUGGGGAUGACGUCAAGUCCUCAUGGCCCUUAUGGGUAGGGCUUCACACGUCAUACAAUGGUCGGUACAGAGGGUUGCCAACCCGCGAGGGGGAGCUAAUCCCACAAAGCCGGUCGUAGCCCGGAUCGCAGUCUGCAACUCGACUGCGUGAAGUCGGAAUCGCUAGUAAUCGCGGAUCAGCAUGUCGCGGUGAAUACGUUCCCGGGUCUU